CUCAUUCGCUAUCUUCUCAAGCCUCUGCGGCAGCCGAGGAUCAUAUCUGACAUCCUCGUAAGUUUCUUAGUAAUCUCGUAGUAUAAUUUUCAAAUGAGAAAAGAUCCAAAUUUACCUCGUUAUAUUAUACGAAAUGUUUUAAUUUUAUUCUUUGUCAUUUAUAUCCUUGUUAGCAAAUAGUCUCGUAUUUGAGCUUUAACUUUAAUGAAGCACCAGCAUGGACUACUAGGUGGAUUCAACACGUCAAAAUGCUUUUGGAAAAAGCUCCAAAUGUACCUCUUUACUUUUUCUUACAGUUUAAAAUUACUCGUUGAUCCAUUGUCCUUCAGGGUGGAGCUUAAUUAGAUCCAAGGGCGAUUACGAGAUGAUGUGUUAACUGCAAGCAUACAAAUAAUCUUAAAGUAUAAUGGAUAAUAAAAUUAAAUACAGUAGAAGAGUAUUAUCUCUAUCAUGGGCGGAGCUAGGGUUGUAGAAGGAGUCGAACUCUCUUCGCAAAAAAAUUACAAUGUGUAUAUAACAUUUAACGUUUUUGUUAUAUACAUAUAAUAGU
rnacentral:lncRNA from 1 species